UACAGAGGGUGCAAGCGUUAAUCGGAAUUACUGGGCGUAAAGCGUGCGUAGACGGUAGCGUAAGUCGGGUGUGAAAGCCCCGGGCUCAACCUGGGAAUUGCAUUCGAGACUGCUCUGCUAGGGUGCGGAAGAGGGAAGCGGAAUUUCCGGUGUAGCGGUGAAAUGCGUAGAUAUCGGAAGGAACACCAGUGGCGAAAGCGGCUUCCUGGUCCAGCACCGACGUCAGGCACGAAAGCGUGGGGGAGCAAACAGG
rnacentral:rRNA from 1 species